UACGAAGGGUGCAAACGUUGUUCGGAUUUACUGGGCGUAAAGGGCGCGCAGGCGGCUCAUUUUGUCAGGCGUGAAAGCCCCGGGCUUAACCUGGGAACUGCGUUUGAUACGGAUGGGCUAGAGUUCGGGAGAGGAGAGUGGAAUUCCCAGUGUAGAGGUGAAAUUCGUAGAUAUUGGGAAGAACACCGGUGGCGAAGGCGGCUCUCUGGACCGAUACUGACGCUGAGGCGCGAAAGCGUGGGGAGCAAACAGG
rnacentral:rRNA from 1 species